rnacentral:rRNA from 2 species
ACGGAGCUAAAAUUAACGUUCGCGAGUACUAAAAUUUUUAAAAUUAAAACUUAAAGAAUAUGGCGGUCAGCUUUAUAUUCAGGGGAACUUACCAGGUAAUAGAUAACCCUCAAAUAACCCUACUUAUAUUUUUAAAGUUUGUAUACCGCCGUCUAUAGUACUCUCUAGGAGCACUAAAUUUAGAACGUUUUCUUAUUAAAGACAGGUCAAGGUGCAGCUUAUAAUUAAGUCUGUAAGGUGAGUUACAAUAAAAAUUAUUUAUCGGAAGCAUAAAUUAAAGUUGUUUGUAGAAGCUGGACUUGAAAGUAAACUUUUCUAAGAAAUGUUGUUUGAAUUUCAAAAAGCUGGUGU